rnacentral:rRNA from 1 species
GAAGGUGAACCGAGAGGUUUGCUGGAGGUAUCAGAAGUGCGAAUGCUGACAUGAGUAACGAUAAAGGGGGUGAAAAACCCCCUCGCCGGAAGAUCAAGGUUUCCUGCGCAACGCUAAUCGGCGCAGGGUGAGUCGGCCCCUAAGGCGAGGGUGAAAACCGUAGUCGAUGGGAAGCAGGUUAACAUUCCUGCACUUUUUCUUACUGCGAUGGAGGGACGGAGAAGGCUAGACCAGCAGGGCGAUGGUUGUCCCUGUUCAAGGUUGUAGGCUGGAAUCUUAGGUAAAUCCGGGAUUCUAAGGCCGAGAACUGAUAACGAGUACCCAAGGGUGCGAAGUGGUUGAUGCCAUGCUUCCAAGAAAAGCUUCUAAGCUUCAGGUAAGAAGGAACCGUACUGUAAACCAACACAGGUGAUCAGGUAGAGAAUACCAAGGCGCUUGAGAGAACUCGGGUGAAGGAACUAGGCAAAAUGGUACCGUAACUUCGGGAGAAGGUACGCCGGUUUUGGUGAUGGGACUUGCUCCCUAAGCUGAGGCUGGCCGAAGUGACCAGGUGGCUGCGACUGUUUAUUAAAAACACAGCACUCUGCAAACACGAAAGUGGACGUAUAGGGUGUGACGCCUGCCCGGUGCCGGAAGGUUAAUUGAUGGGGUUAUCUUCGGAGAAGCUCUUGAUCGAAGCCCCGGUAAACGGCGGCCGUAACUAUAACGGUCCUAAGGUAGCGAAAUUCCUUGUCGGGUAAGUUCCGACCUGCACGAAUGGCGUAACGAUGGCCACACUGUCUCCACCCGAGACUCAGUGAAAUUGAAAUCGCUGUUAAGAUGCAGUGUACCCGCGGCUAGACGGAAAGACCCCGUGAACCUUUACUAUAGCUUCACACUGGACUUUGACUUUAUUUGUGUAGGAUAGCUGGGAGGCUUUGAACUAUGGACGCCAGUUCAUAGGGAGCCAACCUUGAAAUACCAGCCUGAUAACGUUGAGGUUCUAACCUAGGUCCAUUAUCUGGAUCGGGGACAGUGUGUGGUGGGUAGUUUGACUGGGGCGGUCUCCUCCCAAAGAGUAACGGAGGAGCACGAAGGUGCGCUAAUCACGGUCGGAAAUCGUGAGGUUAGUGUAAAGGCACAAGCGCGCUUGACUGCGAGUCUGACAAGACGAGCAGGUACGAAAGUAGGUCUUAGUGAUCCGGUGGUUCUGUAUGGAAGGGCCAUCGCUCAACGGAUAAAAGGUACUCCGGGGAUAACAGGCUGAUACCGCCCAAGAGUUCACAUCGACGGCGGUGUUUGGCACCUCGAUGUCGGCUCAUCACAUCCUGGGGCUGAAGCCGGUCCCAAGGGUAUGGCUGUUCGCCAUUUAAAGUGGUACGCGAGCUGGGUUUAGAACGUCGUGAGACAGUUCGGUCCCUAUCUGCCGUGGGCGUUGGAGAAUUGAGGGAAGCUGCUCCUAGUACGAGAGGACCGGAGUGGACGAACCUCUGGUGUUCCGGUUGU